GGUGGCGUGGCCGAGCGGUCUAAGGCGGCAGACUUAAGAUCUGCUAUCGGAAGAUGUCGUGGGUUCGAACCCCACCGCCACCA
rnacentral:tRNA from 2 species